rnacentral:lncRNA from 1 species
AGGAAAAGAGUAACUUUGGAUCAAAGAUUAACAGAAUACUUUUCUAAGGUAUUCAGGGUAGCAACAGGAACAGGAUUGGAACUUUUUUUUCAGAAAUAGAAUAUUAUUUUAACAAUUCAAAAAAGUAAUUUAAUGAUUAACUUAUUCAUUAUUAUAAUGUACUAACAUAAACAAAAUAAACACCAUAAAAAUAUUCUCUUUUAACCUUAAUGGAGCAACUACAUCACCACAGGCACUGACAGUUGAAUGGAAUUGCUUAACAACAAUAUGGACUGGAAAACAUUAUAACAUCACCCAGCAGAAAAAGUGGUUUCAACCACUGGAAGAGUAUACUAUUUUACUGGUCUCAAAAGUUCAUUCUAUGAGCAAGCCAAAAUAUCCUUAAGAUUGAAUUUGGAACAUCUUUACCGGAAAAAAAAUUCCAUUUCACUUUUAUAUAUAUACUACUUGAAGAAAUAUAAAGCUCUAAAUGAUUCAGGACCUUGAUAUCUAGCGGAAUGCCUCCUCCCACCUAGAUCUACCUGAGUCACUCAUUCUAACCA